UACGUAGGGUGCAAGCGUUGUCCGGAAUUAUUGGGCGUAAAGAGCUCGUAGGCGGUCUGUCGCGUCUGCUGUGAAAACUCAGGGCUUAACUGUGGGCUUGCAGUCGAUACGGGCAGGCUGGAGUCGGUAGGGGAGACUGGAAUUCCUGGUGUAGCGGUGAAAUGCGCAGAUAUCAGGAGGAACACCGGUGGCGAAGGCGGGUCUCUGGGCCGAUACUGACGUGAGGAGCGAAAGCGUGGGGAGCGAACAGG
rnacentral:rRNA from 1 species